GACGAACGCUGGCGGCGUGCUUAACACAUGCAAGUCGAACGGUAAGGCCCCCGCUUGCGGGGGUACACGAGUGGCGAACGGGUGAGUAACACGUGGGUGACCUACCCUGCACUUCGGGAUAAGCCCGGGAAACUGGGUCUAAUACCGGAUAGGACCAGCACGUAGGGUGCUGGUGGAAAGUUUUUCGGUGCAGGAUGGGCCCGCGGCCUAUCAGCUUGUUGGUGGGGUAAUGGCCUACCAAGGCGUCGACGGGUAGCCGGCCUGAGAGGGUGGACGGCCACAUUGGGACUGAGACACGGCCCAGACUCCUACGGGAGGCAGCAGUGGGGAAUAUUGCACAAUGGGCGGAAGCCUGAUGCAGCGACGCCGCGUGGGGGAUGACGGCCUUCGGGUUGUAAACUCCUUUCACCAUCGACGAAGGUUUUCUGACGGUAGAUGGAGAAGAAGCACCGGCUAACUACGUGCCAGCAGCCGCGGUAAUACGUAGGGUGCGAGCGUUGUCCGGAAUUACUGGGCGUAAAGAGCUCGUAGGUGGUUUGUCGCGUCGUCUGUGAAAUUCCGGGGCUUAACUCCGGGCGUGCAGGCGAUACGGGCAUAACUUGAGUACUGUAGGGGAGACUGGAAUUCCUGGUGUAGCGGUGAAAUGCGCAGAUAUCAGAGGAACACCGAUGGCGAAGGCAGGUCUCUGGGCAGUAACUGACGCUGAGGAGCGAAAGCAUGGGUAGCGAACAGGAUUAGAUACCCUGAUAGUCCAUGCCGUAAACGGUGGCGCUAGGUGUGGGUCCCUUUCCACGGGGUCCGUGCCGUAGCUAACGCAUUAAGCGCCCGCCUGGGGGAGUACGCCGCAGCUAAACUCAAGAUUGACGG
rnacentral:rRNA from 1 species